rnacentral:sRNA from 1 species
UUGAGCUAACCCAGCCAAUCAACGUAAAUCAAGAGGUAGCUUACGGAAACUCUAUAGACUUGACAGUCCUAGCAAAAACUGACAUAUCCCAACAACUCAUUUACAAGUGGACUCACUUUAGAAACAAAAGUGACCUUGUUGGAGAAGAACCAAAGUUUACCUUCCAUGAUCCUGUGACAAAAGUGGCCUAUAUAAAUACAACUGGGAUGACUGAAGCAGAAUUUGAAUCUCUUCGUGGUGAAUAUGUGGUGAACAUCUCUCACCUCUAUGAUUACAGAAUUGAACGUAUUCAUGUCACACUUCAAGACAAGCCUGCUCCAGACGAUAUAUCUGGCCAAUCAAAUUUAGUUCCCAGGAUUUACCUCACCUGUUUGACAACAAUAACUGUGACCUUCUUACUGUUUACUGCAAUCGCAUGAAACCUUUACUUUUAAACUGUGUCAGAUAUAUCAAAAAAUCAUGAAUCAAAAUAUCUAAAGUAAAUGUUGACACAAUCAUUCCCAAAGAUGCCUUCAAAAAAUAUGUAAUAGAUAAAAGUUUGAAUUAGU